CAGUAGCAACAAAUCAACUCAACUCACCUCAGUCUGUAACAGAAAAAUCACACCUACAAUGGAAGCAACAUAAGUACGUCACCAUCAGUCCAACACCAAACCAAUGCGCAUUUAGAUAUGCGGACCAGCUAUUUUAAUGUGUUUACUGGAACAAUGUACAUUCGGGUAUAGAGUAAUGGUUGAAAAUAAUGCAGAAUAAUAUUCUCUAGCUUAAUAUACAAAGAACAAUGAAAAGAUCAUUAUGACAGACAUGGGAAAGGUUUCAGAUAGGUUCUAUAUUGGUGCUCAGAAAGCCACUAUCUAGCUCAGAAAUUCAUUUUACUUUUGAUAGCAUCAUCGAUUCAAUCUUGUUUUUCUCAAGUGAAUAACAAUUCCUUAUUGUCACCAACUACACAAAAGGAAAUGUGAAUAAAAGGUUGCAGUAAGAUUUGAGGGAGAAUACCUCCAGGGAAGUUGGACCCCUACUCUCAAAUGGCUUGAUGUUGUCCUUAUAAUUGGCAUACUUGACCUAAUGAUCACGCAUAGGUAAAAAAGGUCCGCCAGCAUGAAUUUCAAAACUGUGCUAGUCCUGGUUCAACACAUCAGAAUAGCAGUGAGAAUCAAGAUAGCUAAGAACCACAUCCUAAAAGCAAGCAUUUUCGUGAGAAUGAGCAAAAGCGCGCACACACGCAUAUCCUAAACGUAGUUGAACAACAAAUCAAGCUACUGAUUUCCAUCAUAUGGCAACUCGAAAAAUCAUAGGUGGCUAUGUACUACAUAUAUCCUAAUUGACGUCCAACCAAUGAAGUCACAUCACAUUAAACACCUAAUAAUCUUUAUCCACUUGGACUAACAUAUCAAGACUAAAGUCUGCUCACAAUGGGUGGCUGGAGUCACG
rnacentral:lncRNA from 1 species